AAGUUAGUUCAGAGCUAUUAGUAUGCAUGGCUUCUCUUAAUCCAAGGAAUAAUUUCUCUAAUUUUGAUGUGGAUAAACUCGUGAGACUUGCUGAAAUUUAUGCUGAAGAUUUCAAUGUUGCGGAUCUUUUAUUGUUACCGGGCCAACUUAAGGACUUUAUCAACCGUGCUAGGAGAACUCAAUAUUUUAGUGGAUGUAAAGAACUUUCAAAAGUUGCUGAAAUUAUGGUUACGAAGACAAUGCACACAUCUUACCCAUUGGUUUAUCGGCUCAUUGAGCUAACUUUGAUACUUCCGAUGGCCACGGCUUCAGUUGAGAGGGUGUUUUCAGCUAUGUCCCUUAUAAAGACAGACUUGCGUAACAAAAUGGGGGAUGAAUGGUUCAAUGACUUGAUGAUAUGCUACAUUGAGAAGCAGAUAUUUAGAAGCAUUGGUAAUGAAAAAAUCAUGCAACAUUUUGAAGAGAUGAAAAAACGCCGUAUGUUGUUGCCUAAACAGAAUUUAGUGAUUGCUCCUCAUGAAGAAUAAUGGGUAUCAAGUAGGUGUUUGGUGUGGAGAAAUUGUCGAUUUGUCUUUGGCUACUUUUUCAACAUGUAAUUUGUAUUAUUCCUCUCUGUUUUUAUAUAUGCUACUUUGAACUAUGAUGCUGCUCUAUUAUGAGAAUUGAGAUAAUAUAAUUGUUGGUUGCGU